AAAUCAUUCUGAAAACUAAAGUUAAACGGCACAGACGUGCCAGUGUAUUAAAUUAAAUUGUAUAUCAGUAACGACAUUACAUGGCGACCGUGACAAUGGUCUCACUAACCUGCAGUGAAUAAAAAACAUCCCAAAAACUAGUGGAAAGGCAGCCAAGAAUGCUGGCAACAAACAACAACAAACUUCAACAAAGACAACAGCAACAGCAGAUCCCAUUUACCAUAAUUCUGGCAAAAAAUACAAAGACAGCAGCGAUGGAGGGAUUGCUGUGGACAAUAAAUAAAUAUUUAACUAUCCCAGCAUAUAAGAGACAAUGUCCGGCGGACUGUGAGGGUCCAUUCUACAACAUUGGCUGCGCACUGAUUUGCCAAAUUGACAAGCCGACAGCGCAACAAAGAGCGCAAUAGAGGGCAACAUAUAACCAUCCCGGCCUGUGCGAAGACCAGCACCGGCAACUUGAACGAGGUUCGACAGUGGACCGACAGCGCUACAAAGAGCGCACUACGAAUUUUUAGUUUUAUAUAUAUAUGAUUUUAAAAAAUUGAGCGAGAGCUCGCCCGAUCAGAGUACAUGUUGGAAGGCUGUACAAAAUAUAGGCGGGAAAAAUUGUAAAUUCACCUGCGAGUGAAUAAUAAAAAGAAAAGACAUAUAGCCAAAGGGCAAUAUAAUGGCAAUUCAUGAUAUAGAAAAUACCACAUGCUAAUUAUAUAUAAACCAAAAAUGGGACUAGUAGACUUAAAGACAGUGGAUUCCAUUGCUAAUGUCAUUGAUAAAGUAGAGUCAAGUAACAUGGAUUUACAAUUAGUAAAUAUACUAUUGAUAAUAAUUGUUGUUAUAAUGUGCGCCAAUUGUUUUUAUAAAUUAUACAAGUUGCAUAACAAAUGCUUAAAAAAGAGGUAUAUGAGCCAGGCAAAUGAUCUGGACAAGAUUUAAAUUAAAAAAAAAAGAGCGCAAACAACAUUUGAAAAUAAAAAAUCGAACAAUAAUUCCGUAAUUUACUUUGUAACAUUGAGAAAAUGAAAUAAAA